UACGGGGGGAGCAAGCGUUGUUCGGAUUUACUGGGCGUAAAGGGCGCGUAGGCGGCCACUGCAGGUCAAUUGUGAAAUCUCCGGGCUUAACUCGGAAAGGUCAACUGAUACUGCAGGGCUAGAGUGCGGAAGGGGCAACUGGAAUUCUCGGUGUAGCGGUGAAAUGCGUAGAUAUCGAGAGGAACACCUGCGGCGAAGGCGGGUUGCUGGGCCGACACUGACGCUGAAGUGCGAAAGCUAGGGGAGCGAACGGG
rnacentral:rRNA from 1 species